ensembl:snRNA U2 U2 spliceosomal RNA
AUCGCUUCUCGGCCAUUUGGCUAAGAUCAAGUGUAGUAUCUGUUCUUAUCAGUGUACGCUUUUCCUUUUUAGAGAAAGAUGGUAAGCUCUUGGAAAUGUCUAGAUUAGACUUUUCUAGGAAAUACAUUCAGAAAUUGUUAUGCUUCACCCCAGCAGAUUUAAA